CGGGGAGUAGUAUAAUGGCAGUACGUAUGCUUUGGGAGCAUAUAGCCCGAGUCCGAUUCUCGGCUCCCCGA
rfam:Parcubacteria (Azambacteria) bacterium GW2011_GWA2_39_10 TT16_C0010, whole genome shotgun sequence.